rnacentral:rRNA from 1 species
UACGAAGGGGGCUAGCGUUGUUCGGAAUUACUGGGCGUAAAGCGCGCGCAGGCGGUCUUCCAAGUCAGAUGUGAAAGCCCGGAGCUCAACUCCGGAACUGCCAUUGAAACUGUUAGACUUGAGGAUGAGAGAGGUGAGUGGAAUUCCCAGUGUAGAGGUGAAAUUCGUAGAUAUUGGGAAGAACACCGGUGGCGAAGGCGGCUCACUGGCUCAUAUCUGACGCUCAGGCGCGACAGCGUGGGGAUCAAACAGG